UACGUAGGGUGCGAGCGUUGUCCGGAAUUACUGGGCGUAAAGAGCUCGUAGGUGGUUUGUCGCGUUGUCCGUGAAAACUCACAACUCAAUUGUGGGCGUGCGGGCGAUACGGGCAGACUGGAGUACUGCAGGGGAGACUGGAAUUCCUGGUGUAGCGGUGGAAUGCGCAGAUAUCAGGAGGAACACCGGUGGCGAAGGCGGCAUCCUGGACCGGUAUCGACGCUGAUGCGCGAAAGCCAGGGGAGCAAACGGG
rnacentral:rRNA from 1 species